rnacentral:rRNA from 1 species
UGAGGAAUAUUGGUCAAUGGGCGAGAGCCUGAACCAGCCAAGUAGCGUGCAGGACGACGGCCCUAUGGGUUGUAAACUGCUUUUAUGUGGGGAUAAAGUGCGUGACGUGUCAUGCAUUGCAGGUACCACAUGAAUAAGGACCGGCUAAUUCCGUGCCAGCAGCCGCGGUAAUACGGAAGGUCCGGGCGUUAUCCGGAUUUAUUGGGUUUAAAGGGAGCGUAGGCUGUCUAUUAAGCGUGUUGUGAAAUAUACCGGCUCAACCGGUGGCUUGCAGCGCGAACUGGUCGACUUGAGUAUGCAGUAAGUAGGCGGAAUUCAUGGUGUAGCGGUGAAAUGCUUAGAUAUCAUGACGAACUCCGAUUGCGCAGGCAGCUUACUGUAGCAUAACUGACGCUGAUGCUCGAAAGUGCGGGUAUCAAACAGG